CUGUUGAUGGAUAAGGUUCCUCUGGUUCUAGUGGAGGAAGCUUCACUUAAGGUGCAAAAACCAAAAGCUGUUCCACAGCAGCGGUCAGACAACCGUAGAGAUAGAUCCACAGAUGAUUUGUUUGCAAUACUUUUCAUCUACUAAUUCUGUCUCACACUU
rfam:Musa acuminata subsp. malaccensis Doubled-haploid Pahang (DH-Pahang) genomic chromosome, chr4